CCCUUAGACGUUCUGGGCCGCACGCGCGCUACACUGACCAGUGCAACAAGCAUCCGUCCUUGGCCGACAGGCCCGGGCAAUCUUUGAACGCUGGUCGUGAUGGGGAUAGACUUUUGCAAUUUUUGGUCUUCAACGAGGAAUUCCUAGUAAACGCAAGUCAUCAACUUGCAUUGAUUACGUCCCUGCCCUUUGUACACACCGCCCAUCGCACCUACCGAUUGAAUGGUCCGGUGAAGCCUCCGGAUUGGCGCGCACCUCGGUGCCGCCGAGAAGUUGGCUAAACCUUACCAUUUAGAGGAAGGUGAANUCGUAACA
rnacentral:rRNA from 1 species